rnacentral:misc_RNA from 1 species
ACUCCGAUUCACUGGUGGGGAAUGGUUCGCCUUGGAGUGCCACCGUGCCAGUUUCCCCAAGCCCACAAGCAUGACAUUGUAUGCUGCACAAGUACACUAAGGAUCACCUGAAUUAAUCUCUACGAGCUCCUGAGACACAGAAGCUACAUUGGCAAUACUGCUUCGAAUUUUAUAUGCCGGUAUUGGGCACUUAUUCAUACAGAGCCGGGGUCAUGCAUCUAUUCGCGACUCUGGUGGUAGUGGUGGCGUCGGCAGCAGUAUCGGCAAGCGAGCAGUACCGAGUGCUUAUUGUGACCCCCGUGGCGAGCCGCAGUCAGUACCACCUCUGCGCUGCCAUCGCCGAGGGUCUUGGGGAGGCCGGUCAUGAGGUUACUUUUGUUUCCUCCUUCAAAUUAAAGCACACCUCUAAAUAUGGCGUACAACACGUGCAUUCUGGAGGCGACAACAGUAUGAUGGAAGAAAUGAAUUUGUUUGAUAUACACGAAAAUCCAAACAUCAUGUUUUCUACAUUCACGCAAGUAUACAAGAAUAUAGGACAUAACAUGUGGGCCAAUGACGAAAUAAAACAACUUUGGCAUGAAAGGAACAAGUUUCACGCAAUUAUCACCAUUAGCUACGCUAACGAGGUGAUUUCACCUUUCCUGCUGGAUUAUCAAGGAGUGUUUGUAACUUUGUGCACACCCGGUAUUGAGCUUCGAACUAUUUCUUAUCAAGGCAACUGGCUUCCCUUUUCCUCGGUGCCAACACUUCUGACUGACUUCACUCAAGACAUGACGUUUAUUGAGAGAGUUAUUAAUCCACUUAAUUUCAUAUUCUAUAGAAUCGUAUACAUAUUUACGGUACUGCCGGUAGCCCAGAGCAUUGUGCAAGACUAUUUCCCCGGAAUGCCUCCCAUUGAGACGCUCUAUGAAAACAGUUCCCUCACUCUUAUCAAUGGCCACUUCUCCAUAGAUGGACAGGUCCCUCUCCUGCCCACACAGGUGGAGAUUGGCACCAUCAGCACUAAUAAACCAAGACCCCUACCACAGGACUUGGAGGACUUCAUGGGUGGAGCUGGAGAGGCCGGAGUCAUUCUAUUCAGCCUCGGCAGUAUAGCAAGAAGCACACAUAUGCCCGGAAAAUAUAAGGACGUGCUGGUGGAGGCUUUCAGAAGUCUGCCUCAGCGAGUCAUAUGGAAGUACGAGGGGGAUGACCUGCAGCUUCCACCUAACGUAAUAACUACGGCGUGGGUUCCUCAGCAGGAUAUCCUCAGACACAAUAAAACGAGGCUCUUCAUUUCCCACUGCGGCAACUUGGGGGUGCAGGAGGCCCAGUACAACGGCGUGCCGAUCCUGGGAAUGCCUCUUGCCUUCGAUCAGCUACGAAAUGCUCAACGCAUGGCCAAAAACGGUUAUGGUUUAGCCCUAGACUGGAAUGACCUGACAGUCGAAUCCUUGCUAGAUGCCAUCCACACUCUCCUCACUCCACGGUAUCGAGAGAAACUGCAGGCAGUGUCCAAGGCACUUCAUGACCAGAAGGAGAGCCCCAAGGAGCGAGCCACCUGGUGGGUGGAGUACGCCAUCAGAAACAAGGGCGCUCCACAUAUGACAUACAGUGGAAAGCGUCUUCACUUCCUGCAGUAUGUCAUGGUCGAUGUUAUGCUCUUCCUGGUGGCAGUGGUGGCCGCGUGGCUGCUGCUCUCAAUUCUUUGCCUCAGAAGACUAAUCCGCUGCUGCAGGAGACCACAGAAGCACGCCUUGCAGGAGACCAAGAAGCAAAAAUAGUGUGCUUGUCACCGGAAGUUUUUCACCUGACAUGCCGCUUAAAUUCAAUGAGGAGUUCCCACACUCAACCAGUUGACGCUAAACACCAGCACAAUGCGAGGCCUCCUUCUGCUACUGGCUGGGGUACUGCUGCUCUCAGCCGUCGACGCAAGGGGAUUCUACGGAUAUUGUUUCGUCGGCGACGGCAAGAUAGUGCCUAACGGUAGUACGUGGACUGCAUCGAGGUGCCGCCAGGGUAAAUGCAUUGAUGGCAGCGUGACCUACGUGGGAUGCUUCACCAAGCCUCCAGAGGACCCGUCAUGUUAUUCCGACCAAGACCUGUCCCAGCCCUACCCGCACUGCUGUCCUCUCAUAUUCUGCCGCUGACCGUCCCUCCCCAAGACCUCACUGUGUCUGGACCAGGACCGCUCUACACGACUACCUCUCAUUAACACAAAACACUAAUAUAAUAGUCAAAAUUGCCACUUCCUAUAUUUCUGGAGGCAUUACAAGCAUUAACCCCUUCAGUACUGAGACACAUUAUUACCAUGAUUCUUUUUAUACGAUUAGACAAUUUUAUUUACAUUAGAAAGUGGUCUAUGAAAGUCAGAAUAUUAAUGACCAGAGUCUUUACAAUUUGAAUCCCCACAUAAGUUUCUGAAGCUGUUUAAAAUCACCAAAUAGUAAGCAGAAUAAAUACGAAAACGCGUCAUGGUCUGAAAGGGUUCAUGCUAUCAAAGUUCGAAUCAAAACUCACUUAAUGCCAUGGAUGUACAGCAUAAAAAAAAUGCAUGAAAAAAAUAAAUAAAUAAAAGAAAUCAAAUGUUA